rnacentral:misc_RNA from 1 species
GUUGAAAUGCGAAGAGUACGAGCACAUUCAAGAGGCAGGUCCCAUCCAUGGAACUUGAGAAGGGCGAUAUCUUCCUCUGCGUCCAGUGAAUUUAUGUAGUCUAAUGUCUCGGCAUCAUAUGGUUGCUGGGCUUGUGGCCAAUAGAGCCAGUCAAAUGUACAAUCUUCAAAACUUGUUGGCAAGCAGUAUCCAUGGUCGAUUGGAAUAAGCACAGUUUGACCCCCUUCCCUUUCUUUUCCCAAUAGAAUAUUUCCAGCAUGUCUAUCUGCAUUUGCCAAUCUAAUAUCCAAAACAGAGAUUUUGUGCACCUCCUUAGUAGGGAAAGCCCCAGCACCAAAAU